rnacentral:rRNA from 1 species
CGUUUACCGUGAAAAAAUUAGAGUGUUCAAAGCAGGCAGAUUCAAUUUUCUGCCACCGAAUACAUUAGCAUGGGAUAAUGGAAUAGGACCCUGUCCUCCUAUUUUCAGUUGGUUUUGGCAGCGCGAGGACUAGGGUAAUGAUUAAUAGGGAUAGUUGGGGGCAUUAAUAUUUAAUUGUCAGAGGUGAAAUUCUUGGAUUUAUGAAAGAUUAACUUCUGCGAAAGCAUCUGCCAAGGAUGUUUUCAUUAAUCAAGAACGAAAGUUAGGGGAUCGAAGACGAUCAGAUACCGUCGUAGUCUUAACCAUAAACGAUGCCGACCAGCGAUUAGGAGACGUUGAAUACAAAACACCACCAUCGGCGCGGUCGUCCUUGGCGCGUUCGUGUUCACG